GGGAAGAUGGCUGAGUGGACAAAGGCGGCAGACUGUAAAUCUGUUAAGGAAACUUUUCGUAGGUUCGAAUCCUACUCUUCCCA
rnacentral:tRNA from 1 species